UACGUAGGUGGCAAGCGUUGUCCGGAUUUAUUGGGCGUAAAGCGAGCGCAGGCGGUUUCUUAAGUCUGAUGUGAAAGCCCCCGGCUCAACCGGGGAGGGUCAUUGGAAACUGGGGAACUUGAGUGCAGAAGAGGAGAGUGGAAUUCCAUGUGUAGCGGUGAAAUGCGUAGAUAUAUGGAGGAACACCAGUGGCGAAGGCGGCUCUCUGGUCUGUAACUGACGCUGAGGCUCGAAAGCGUGGGGAGCAAACAGG
rnacentral:rRNA from 1 species